UAUCAAACAUGCAAAAUCGAAGAUCCUUUCAACUCUUCUAAAUUUUCAAUUUUGAUCUCAAGUUCUCGACCUGCUUUUUCAUAUCUUUUCUUAUGUCUAUACCAAUUCAAUUUUUUUAUUCAUCACCUGGAUUACUACUUAAAAGUUCAUGAUCAUCACAUUUUUCAGAUCAGACAGUGGAAAACAUUCGUCUUUGAACCUUUCUUAAAGCAACAGUUGGUUGGUGGUUGAGUUUAAAUCACGACAGGGAGAGAUUAGUUUUGUUGCAGGCUUCUAGAAUUUGCAGUGCAGACUGGUAUAAGAAAUAAAAGCUGAUUCAAGAAAACCAUAUAUGAGGGAUAAGAAAAAAAAUUGGACAGAUCUGCUCUACAGUAAACUUUGAGAAGGUUGAAGACGCUGGAUUACAAAGUGUUACCGACGCUUGGGUGAAUCAAAGUCAGUAAUGGGCCAUGACUUCAAGGGAGAUGCCCUGAUCAAACCCGGUUGGUUAGUAAAUAGGGUAGCAGAAGCACUCUUGUUGUGGCAACAAAUCUAACCUCUCACAUUUAAACACAGAGAAGCCUGUACAGUGUAUAUUAAAGAACACAAGGAGUGUGAAUUCGGUUAGCAUAGCGUCAUGAAGUUCAUCUUUAGGCUUGUGGAGAGAGAUUCUAAUAAUAUUUUCUCUUCAACUUGAUAUAUAUAAUUUGUUAAUACUUCUAUGUAAUAAUAAUAUCUCCUAACUUUCGUCAAACAAAAAAAGUCUCCUAACUUUAUUAAGUUUUUUUUAUCACAUUUCUUUGCAAGAGAUUUAUAUGAUUGUAAUCUUCUUAUUAUGUUACAAAUCAAUUCAAUUAAUGUACUAUAUAUGGUGGUCCUGGACAACAUAAGUCUUCAAAAGGUUAUGUCCUUAAUGACUAACCGAUUAAUGCAAACAUACUGUGUUUCUCUUCCAACGUCGUUAAACUUUUUUUUCGUACGAGGUGGAGAAAUUACAUGUAGGUUGAUACUAUUAAAGACAAGCCCAACCCAAUGUUAAGUAGUCCAAUAAUAUGUCAUAGCCCAAAUGUUUAGGGUUCUUUCUAGUGCAUAUAUAUAUAUGAAUGCUAUCUUUCUAUCUUGGGAACUAAGGCUGCGGUUUGUGCAGCCAAAACCUUAUCUUUAUGAAUAUCAUUUCAGAAUCAUUUUGAUAUUGGUGACAACUUAAAUCUCUUCUCCUUUCUUUACCUUCUUGUUCAAUAAAGCCUUAAUAAGCUA